AAUUCCACACACACUGUGCUAGAUCAUAAGAACAUUACAUGCACUCUUACCGUGACUUAAUACAACUAACUUAAGGUUCAAAAUGAUGUGAAUAUCAGAAAAAAAGAUUAAUACUCCACAUUUUUGUAAGUAAUUUUAGUAUAAAGUGUCUUUAUGUGGAACUGACUGAGCUGUUUUGCUUUAAUGUUUUAUUUUGCAUUCAUUAUACAAAUGAUCUGCAAUAAUUUCUCCUGUAGUGGAGAGAAAUUCUGAUCCAGUUCUAAUAUAUGCUGCUCCAUUAAUAUACAGUGGCUUACCAACAUCUGAUACUGAAGCACUUGAAACAUGUUCCUCUGCAAAUUCCUUCUUGCAUUGCUCAAUCUCCAAUAAUGUUUAUUUGCCUACUGGAGAACAUUCCUGAAAUCUACCACUCAUGUUUCUCAAACAUUACACUGAAGGAUAAACACAUUCUUUAGCAAUCUAUUAAUGUACUCCCACUUUGUAUCCCAGAAAUGACCUUAUCUGCAGCAAACUUAGCCACAGAAGCUUUCCAGUUUGUCUUGGUUCAACAAACCCACAAGGACACAAAGCUGCCUAUAAUAAGUCGAAGCAGCCAGAUGUCCUAAUUUUCCGACUGUCAUUAUUACAUGCUCUUUAUUAUGUUGCCAUUCUUGAUCUUUGUAAGCUUCCUUUAGCAAUACUACACAAAAUAUCACUUGGGCAACUCACUAAAGCCAUAGUUAAUAUGAAUAUUGACCAGCAGAAAGAGUCCUUCCAGGGCACACUGGAGCAAAGCAAGCCCUUCAAGAUAAAACAGGGCAGAGAGGCUCUUUCGAAGAACAUCACUCUGAGCGUAAGAGACACUGGAGGAAUUAGCUGAAAUCUGAAGGCUGGCAUCAGACACCAAGAGAUCCAUGGAUGACCUCUUUCACUCCUGACGCCCCCUGGUUCAUCAGGUUCCAGCCACGGAUACAGCCAUCUAGCCUGGGA